GCGUUGGUGGUUUAGUGGUAAAAUUCAUCGUUGCCAGCCCAUAGCGUUCCUUCACCGGGAGAGCCUCCUGGAAAAACUUCGAUGAGCCCCGGGUUCGAUUCCCGGCCGACGCA